UCGGUGGGGAUUAGUGGCGAACGGGUGAGUAACACGUGGGCAAUCUGCCCUGCACUCUGGGACAAGCCCUGGAAACGGGGUCUAAUACCGGAUAUUGACCUUCACGGGCAUCUGUGAGGUUCGAAAGCUCCGGCGGUGCAGGAUGAGCCCGCGGCCUAUCAGCUUGUUGGUGAGGUAAUGGCUCACCAAGGCGACGACGGGUAGCCGGCCUGAGAGGGCGACCGGCCACACUGGGACUGAGACACGGCCCAGACUCCUACGGGAGGCAGCAGUGGGGAAUAUUGCACAAUGGGCGAAAGCCUGAUGCAGCGACGCCGCGUGAGGGAUGACGGCCUUCGGGUUGUAAACCUCUUUCAGCAGGGAAGAAGCGAAAGUGACGGUACCUGCAGAAGAAGCGCCGGCUAACUACGUGCCAGCAGCCGCGGUAAUACGUAGGGCGCAAGCGUUGUCCGGAAUUAUUGGGCGUAAAGAGCUCGUAGGCGGCUUGUCACGUCGGUUGUGAAAGCCCGGGGCUUAACCC
rnacentral:rRNA from 1 species